GGCACUUUAGCUCAGUUGGUUAGAGCGUUCGCUUAACAGUUCUUUCCGCGAAAGGUCCCCGGUUCGAGCCCGGGAGGAGUCA